GGCGAGUGAAGCGGCAAAAGCUCAAAUUUGAAAUCUGGCGUCUUUGGCGUCCGAGUUGUAAUUUGAAGAAGGUAUCUUUGGGCCCGGCUCUUGUCUAUGUUCCUUGGAACAGGACGUCACAGAGGGUGAGAAUCCCGUGCGAUGAGAUGACCCGGGUCUGUGUAAAGUUCCUUCGACGAGUCGAGUUGUUUGGGAAUGCAGCUCUAAGUGGGUGGUAAAUUCCAUCUAAAGCUAAAUAUUGGCGAGAGACCGAUAGCGAACAAGUACAGUGAUGGAAAGAUGAAAAGAACUUUGAAAAGAGAGUGAAAAAGUACGUGAAAUUGUUGAAAGGGAAGGGCUUGAGAUCAGACUUGGUAUUUUGCAUGCUGCUCUCUCGGGGGCGGCCGCUGCGGUUUACCGGGCCAGCAUCGGUUUGGAGCGGCAGGAUAAUGGCGGAGGAAUGUGGCACGGCUUCUGCUGUGUGUUAUAGCCUCUGACGAUACUGCCAGCCUAGACCGAGGACU
rnacentral:rRNA from 1 species